ensembl:lncRNA
GCUUUAUUCCGAUGGUGGAGGUGGCAGGCCUUUGGCUGGAACAUACACCCCUUUUACUACUCUGCCUCUCAGCCCUUUACAGUUUAUUUUGGUUUUGGACUCCAGUAUCCUCUGUGAAGGUGGUUUUUGAAGGUGUCAGCUGAGGUGGUUCGGGGAUCUAACUAGGAUACCUCGGACGUCUCCCACUGGAAGUUUUUCAGCCACACCCAAAUGGUAAGAAACUCGAGUAUCAAAGGGUUUGCAUAAACUGGCGCCCUGCUUUAGUAAAACACUGCAAGCGGAAGUGGGGAGCAGACAAACAAAAGACUAGAUGAGACUGGACUCCUCUAAAUCCCAGCCGGAGGCCGCUUCCACCCACACCUCUCUUCUCCAUCCAGCCAGUGCAUCCUCACCCACCAGCUUCAUCCCCAAUCUCCCCUCAAUCCCCUCUCCUUCUCAUUCUCUACAAAAGUGGUUUCCAGGACUUCCAGACCUUGUUCCUUUUUCUUCUUCCCUGUGCUGGUAAACUGUCUGAAGAGUGAGAAGGACGUGUAAGUGUUAAUUUGUCAUCAAACUAUCCAUUUCCAAGAAUGCUUCAAAAACUAUCAAGCUGAAACACUGGUAUUACAGUAUAAAAACUGAUUACAGCUGACUAGCUUAACUAGCUGACAUAGAAAAGUAUUCAUAGAAAAUUCAUAGAAAAAGUAAAGAAAAGUAUUAAAUAAGUAUUCACUUUUAUCUGUGGUUUUAAGAUGAACCAGGAUGGCCCUGCUAAACACAUGUCACUGGGAAAUAUGCCUUUUAUCAGAAGGAUUUUUAACCCCUUAUUGUUUGGCUUACUAUGUGAUACAGAAACUUGCCUCUGGAGUGCUGGCGAGUUCAACUCUGUUUCAGAACUUUACCAGUAGAUGGUACAUAUUUCGACCCUCCAAGGACUGCUGGACAUAGAGGCAGGUUGACCGCAAAAAAAUUGAGAUCUCGUUGAAUGCCGAAGAACUAAUCCCACAAUUAUAUUCUACUUGACAGACCUUUUUAGAUAGUGUUACACCUUUACAAAAUCAUUCAUUCUGAGCCCAAAUGUAAACCAUGGCUGGACGACAUAGCUUUGCCAUGAGACCAGAAUGUAUAAGGGCACAACAUAACACACACAAGUUUUUGUGGUGAACACCACAUGCUGCAGCCGAGCAUUGACUGUCACGCAGAGUGACUGUUACGCAGACUGACUAUCACACAGUCUCUCAUACUGUCUCACACACUGCUUGCUGAAACCAUUUACACUUGCAUUAACAAGGAAUAUCAAGUAUUUUUUGCCAACUUUCAGACAGAUGAAGUUGCAUUGCUGUCUGUCUCUCACACUGUCUCACACACUGUAAAUGUUUGUACAGUGUUGCGAUGCAGAGAACAUAUGGAAAGCCACUGCAUGUUGUGCUCUUUGUAAAGUUAUGUUGGUUUAUUUGGCGCUUAAUAAACUUCUGGAUGUUUCACUGCUUAAAUUGAUUGAAUUUCUGAUUAUGAGUAAUGCAUACUGAUCCUCCCAUACACAGAUUCAGACACACAUUAUAAAACUCCUAGUUCUAUAUAUACAUCUGCACGUACAUAUGGUAUAUAAGCGCAUGCAGUACAUAUAUAUUCAUAAC